rnacentral:lncRNA from 1 species
CAGAUUGGUACAUUUCUUCAUUAAAUCAUAAUAUAGCAAUAUCAUACACCAUAAUAACAUUCUCACCCUUAAUUCAGAAAUCGUCCUCUUGGGGAUAGUUCUCAGUUAAUUCAACUAAAGGAAAAAGACUGUGUCAUGUUGUUACUUACAGUGAUAGAAAUUUUGAACAAUCUAAUUUCUAUUGUUUGGGAAAUUCUUAAAUAAAAUAACUGAGUUCAUGCAGCUUCUAAGGGCUGUGAUCAUGAAGCUGAUGCAAAAAUGUAUUUGGCUCAAGUGGAGACUACUCAAAUGUUGUAGAUCAACAGUAGAGCAUUUGCCUACCAUGUGUGAAGCCUGUGAUCCCCUAGUACCUCAAAUGAAAGAAAAAGAUAAGUGUUUUCUUCUAUGAUAACAAUUACAUAAAAUAUAUAUAUCUGUAAGCCAAGAUUUAAAGCUAACAUACACUCAAAAUUAUAAAAAUUGUUGAUAAAGUCGGAUUACAAGUAAAUUUUAUUUUUCUAACUUUUCCCCCCAACUCUUUAGCAAAAGCUUUUUAUUAUGAGUCAAAGUGUGAACAAUUUUUUACAAAAAAAAAAAAAAAAAUUUUUUUUACUAUAUACAAGCUUAUUAUAUAAAAAAUCUGCCCCAAUCUGUUCAGAUUUAUCAGUUUAGAUAAUAUUGAGAAUUUCUCCCGGGUGGGCAUGGUGAUGCAUGCCUCUAAGUUAUCCCAGCAGCCUGGGAGGCUGAGGCAGGAGGAUCACAAGUUCAAAGACAACCUCGGCAAUUUAGCAAGGCCCUAAGCAACUUAGGGAGACCCUUUCUUUAAAUAAAAUACAAAAAAGGGCUGGGGAUGUGACUCAGUGGUUGAGUGCCCCUAAUUUCAAUCCCCAGUGCCAAAAACAAAAACAAUUCCAAUUAUUUUAAUGACUAUCUGGUAUAUUUUAAUCUACCCAAUUUUUUUUUUAUAACACAAGAGUCAUAAAAAUAGCGUGUUUUUCAAGCUCUUAUUGGGUAUAAAGAAACAUUCCAGUAGCUUACAUCUAUUAAAUUGUGUAGUAGGAGCUUAGUAGGUAAAAGUAAAAAUUACUGCGAGUGUUAUUCUUCCAAUUUUGUUUUGACUUAUUAUUUUUAAAAAAAUUUCAAUAGCUUACCAAUCUUGUAGCCUUAUUAGAAGCUAAUGGUGUUAUUCUCACAUAACUUGCUUUAAUGAGUCCAAAAUUGUCUUAAUGAUUACUGUUUCCUUCCAUACAAUUGUUUAUGUUUUCAGCCUUUUAUUGAUGAUUUAAAUUGUAACAUUGAAUAAAGGUCAACUAUUGUUGUUUAC